CAAAGAGAUCCUGUAAAGUGGAGCUGCAGUUAUCUGCAAGUCACGGUGGCAAGUACUCAGAAGAAGAUUGCUAUCAAGGUGAUCAGUUUGUACUAAACAGAGAACAGUCAUUGCUGUGGAGCCAUAAAGAAUGUACUAAUCUGUAGGAUUUAGUUUGAGCAUAGUUACAUCCUUGCAUUCAUCAGAGUUCAUCCAACACGAUUGAUACUUGGAAUAACGGGGAGAUGACAGAUGCAAAGGCAAGGAAUCACUGGAGAAAUGUCACUGGGUGAGGACUAACAACAACAACAAAACUAGAUCCACUCUACAGUUCCACUGACAACUCGUCUACAGUGGGUGACAUGGUGCUGAGAGAGAGCCCAGAAGUGAAGUUGCCACUGUCACCCAGUGUCCCCUCUUCCCCAAGGAUCCCUCAAGACCCUCGAUGACUUGUGAGCACUGAUGAGUGGACCAAGUGAAGACGAAUGGUGUUUAGGGACGGGGUCCCUCAAGACCGAGCUGUGGCCCAUCUGGGUUGACUCAAGCCACCGCGAGGACCCUGGUACUUCCAUACUUGGGAGUGGAAUUCCUGGCUCACAGGGUGAGCCUGGUGGUUGACAUUGAGAACCAUUUUGCAAAAUGAUUGAAGCAUUUGCACACCUUUCAGUAACACGCGGGACUUUGCUACACGUUCUUUCCAGUGCUCGGUGUUUCAGUUGAAUUUUAACCAUUCAGCCAACAUCUCGCGUGUCAGAUCCUGUCUCGGCAUCUGCUUCUUGGAGGACCUGAACUGAGAGCGGAUGGAUCCUAGUGUAAGGUAAGAACACGGGAUCCCAGAAAUGUCCACGUGGGUUGGCCCGGCGUGAAGUCUCAGAGGACAGGACCGAGGGCGUGUUUAGGAAUGGGAAAGACACAG